rnacentral:lncRNA from 1 species
GACCAAGGGCCCUCCUCUCACUUUUCUUGCUCCCCACUCUAACUCAUUUGACCCCUUGACCAUGGCAUGAGAGGCUUGACUUGUUGACUAGUUUUCCUCUGCCACGUAGGAUUGACCGCGCCACGUAGGUGUCUUUGACUCGUGCUUGCGGAAUGUUGACUUGGUCGCCAUCACAUAGGAUUUACGGCUCGGCCCAUAUAAGGGUUUAUUUUACUACUAUUCUUCAAAUUUUAUUUGAGUGUAUAUGUGUAGUGAGGUUUAUUAAUUUUGCAUUUCGAAAAAAUCAAUCGUGAACAUGGUUCGUGAAGGAACUUUUAAUUUCCUAUUUUCAUACUGGUCUAAUAGCACAUACCAGUGACAUGCCUUUGUCAUUUUUUUGUGCUUUAAAAAUAAUACAAAUACAAUAAUAAAUAUCUUUAAUAAAGAUGUUUUGCACGGGACACCUUGCUAGUUCUUUAAUUAAUGCAAAAAAGGGAAAUAUCAGGAAAACAUAGCUUAUGCAUUUUUUUUGUAAAUCCGGUACGCAUAUCCAUUUAACUGGUUUAAGUAACACUAAAGUAACAUAUCUUGGAGGGAAGCGCCGUCGCCGCGUCGUAUAAUUGCCUUAAAAAAAAGAUACUCUUUCCGUUUCAUAAUUUUUAUCUCAAAAUUUGCCCCCAAAAUAAUGUAUUUAUUUAUAAGAAAUGUUUAGAUUCAUGUAAUAUUUCGACAAAAAUUAUUAAACUGAGGGAGUAUCUCUUGUCCGUCGAGCACAUACUGCAUAAGCAUGCACACGCAGGUUGUGUCUCUGGUCUCUUCUGCGGUCAUUUGCAGUUUCGCGCUAAACUGACUAACGAACACUUCAAAGUUUAAAAAAAUAAAAAAAAAAAUAGCGAGAGCACCUGGUUGCGGGCUUGCUGCAGGAGCUCAAAGUUAAAUUGAUGCUCCUGUCGCCUAUAUAUACGAGCCAGUAGCUCCUUCAUCACAGCAUCAAGAUCACCACCACAAGUGCAUCUGUGCAAAGCGUGAAAAACAGAGCAAAACAUCCUCUGCCUCAGCCCGCGAAGCCAGCUCCUCUCCCCUGUUCCUACUCUGUUUCCCUCACUCACUGACUCACUCGAGAGUUCCUAGUGGAACGCGAGGCUUUGCUCGGGACCCGGCCAUGGUGGCGAUCAAGGCGCCGAGCUCCAUCGACCACGCGAACCCGCUGACCAAGUCCCCCAAGGCCGCAGCAGCAGCAGCAGCAGCGAUCCCGACGGUGGACCUGUCGUCCCCGGGCGCGGCGAGGGCCGUGGCGGAUGCCUGCCGCGGCGUGGGCUUCUUCCGGGCCACCAACCACGGCAUCCCCAGCUCGCUCGCCGCAGCGCUCGAGGCCCGCGCCAUGGCCUUCUUCGCGCUCCCGCACGAAGACAAGGUGGACGCCACCAUUGCCGCGGCCGCCCGGAGGCCCUUCGGGUACGGCAGCAGGAGCAUCGGCUCCAACGGCGACGUCGGCUGGCUCGAGUACCUCCUCCUCUCCCUCGGCUCAAACUCAAACUCCAGCUCCAUCCCAGGAGCUUCCUCCCUCCCGCCAUCGCUCCGGGCGGCGCUGGAGGAGUACACGGGAGCGGUGAGGAACGCGAGCGGGAAGGUGCUGGAGCUAAUGGCGGAGGGGCUGGGGAUGCAGGAGAGAUGUGCGCUGAGAAGGAUGGUGGAUGGAAGCGAGGAAGAGCUUGUCAGGGUGAACCAUUACCCGCCGACCAAGGAAGAAGACUGCGUGGCGGGGAUGACGGGGUUCGGGGAGCACACGGACCCGCAGAUCAUCUCCCUGCUCCGGUCCAACCGCACGGCCGGGCUCCAGAUUAAGCUCCAAGGACCCGACGCGCCAUGGGUCAACGUGGCUCCCGACCCGGAUUCCCUCUUCGUCAACGUCGGCGACUGCUUGCAGGUGCUGACGAACGGGCGGUUCAGGAGCGUGAAGCACAGGGUGGUGGCGCCGGAAGGGGCGCAGGCGUCGAGGCUGUCGGUGAUCUACUUCGGCGGGCCGGCGCCGGCGCAGAGGAUCGCGCCGCUGCCGGAGCUGAUGAGGGAGGGCGAGCAGAGCCUCUACAGGGACUUCACCUGGGGGGAGUACAAGGCGGCUGCCUACAAGACCCGCCUCGGCGACAACCGCCUCGGCCCCUACGAGCUGCGCAACGUCGCAGAUACUAAUCCGACGGCUCUGAUCACCGCCUCCAAGGAACCCACAGCCGCCGAUCACUGCUGCAGCAACAGCAGCAGCAGCAGCGCCGCCUGCGUCGUCGUCCAGCCGCCGCACGUAGCACAAGUGCACUAGCUAAGCUAGCUGAUGUCCGGCCGGCGGCUACUGUCGAUCGUUGGUCGGUCGUUUGAUGUGUAAUCCAGAUGUGGUAACUAAAGCUAGCUGUACGUGUGCCUGCCUGCUUUCCCAGCCCAAAAUUGGCAUGCGCCUGCGAAAAUGCCUCUCCCGCAUGCUCUGCUUCGUCCCGGUUUCAGUUUGUCCUUUCUGGGAAAACAUUUGUAACUUCCGCUAGUAGUAGUAGUAGGCUCGUAGCUGCAAGCCUGCAAGUGUGCUGCACCCUUUUGUCACCGGCAGUUUAACAGCUUGAAUCGCACGCUAUAUGCUGCCUGGUGUACUGUAAAUUAACGGCCCUAUUGUUCCGAUUGUCUUUGUGUGUUACUUACUUCUAGAGUACAAGUUAACUGGAGUACUAAGUGACAACGUUGUAAAAAAGCCCCCCUCUUCGCUUCUUUGGGGCCUUUUGUGCCGUAUAAGAAGUUAAGUACUUCAGAGGAAGAAGGAAACAGUUCAGUUUAGAUUCUACACGGUGCCAACCCCCGAUGCAUCAUCAAGACAUCAAGGUUCAGAUCAGACGACAGGGCUCGAGCCGUGCUCGGUAACAGCUCACGUCCGCUUGUUACAACUAGACGAGCCCCGUACGUUGUCGUGGAAAUUUUUAGUUAACAUACGUGAGCCCACGUUGUUGAGAACAUACAUGAAUGAAAAAUAGCAACAAAAGAGUAUUCAGUGAAAUGUAUAAUGGAAUUGUAUGAUAAAUUAUAGAUCAUUCACUUAGUAAAAAUAGCUUGAUGAAAAAUAGCAUGCAUGCAUGUGCAAAAAAUAUGAGUGUUUCACUAAAUAGAUAUGAACAAAUUAAUAGUGUGAUGAUGUGGCAUGCUUGCAUGUUGAGAGAAAUCAAGUAGCAGUAGCAUGUUCUUCUCCUUAGAUAUGGAAGAUUAGUGCUGUGCGUGGUACGGUUCGAGCUGAUCCAAGAGAAACGUGGUAUCUACGGAUCGGAUGUUCGGUUUACAAAAAAAAUCGGAACAACUAAAUCCUAUCCAAUUGAACCAUUGAUUCACCGGUUCGAACCUUCCUGUUCCUCAGGCCGAGGCAGCGAUUGAUCUCUCCAAUUCCUCGAUUUGCUGCUGCUGCCGCCGCCGCCGCUAAGCCCCACCGUGGUCGCCGCCGCCGUCUCCUUCAGUGCAAGUGAUCACAGUUCGCACCGCCUGCAAAUCCGCUCCCUCCCCACCCCCUCAGCGGCUCGCCGCCUUCAAAGCCGAAGCCAAGACGACUCCGCCGCUAAGACCAUCGGCGGCCGCCUCCGCAUCCCACGCCGCCACCGGGUGGAUUCGUCUCCAUCGCGCCGGCGCCCCCAACUCCCCGCCAACCUCCACCAUUACCCUGCUGUCGAUUCAGCGAGAUUGAAGUUUUUCUACCUCCGUCCCAGGCGCGCACUGCAGCCGAGCAGGCGACGAAAAUAACUCCUCCAUUACCCUGCUGUCGGCAACCUUCUUCGAGCUUUGAGCUAUUCGGCUUUUCCGGCCUGCAGCAGAGCAGCCGACGAGAGCCCUCUGGCAAGACGAAGCAUGCUGUUCUUUUCGGUAUGCAGUAUGCGCAGGCAAUUUAGGUUCGAACCAAAAGAUCCAUUGGAUCGUGUGGAUCACGGAUGCUGCUCCAAUGGAUCGAACCUUUUUACUCCCUUGCACCCUAGGUACGUGAAGUUUGGUGCGGUUCAGAGCCGGUACGAGCCACGCCCACCCCUAGUUACAAUCCGUUUUACUAAACCAACUAGUGGAAUGUCCGUGCUUCGUGACGGCUGAUGUUCAACAUAUAAUGGAAACGAAUAUUGAAAAGAAGGUGCAUAUCGUUUGCACGGAAUACAUAUCGGCCAUACCCAAUUGCUAUGAUAACAAAAUUCGACAAUACCAAAACAUUGAAAAACGACGAUAAAUAAUAUGAGAACUCAAGAAUACAGAACUUGGUUCAUACAUAGGAUGCGGUACAAACAGAUCUAUCUAAAGUACCACAUUAAAUAACAUCAAAGAAAGGUAAACUGGAACCAACCUAUAAUAGGGCAAGCUUGUUCAAGUAUAUUACAAUAAAAAUAUGCCUGGAAGGCAAAUUGGAAACAAAGAUCAUGAUUAGUGACAACAAAAACACUUACCACAUCUAUUAGCUGAUGAAAUGGUAGGAGCAAACCUUCACUAACAGCAUACAAGAACGAUGUCGCCAUUCUCUACAGCCUCCCAGAUAUUUUCAAGCCUCUCAUUCCUACAAGGACUUGAGUUGAUAUUAACAACUGGCACAGUUUGGUACCUCUUUUGUACAGUAGGAUAGAAUCACAUAAGGUAGAUUAUAUGUAUCCUGGAGGUUAUGGUAGAUUAAUAUAGACAACUUGUAACAUAUACAUUUUUAUAUUAGUGAUAUACAAGAAAUGGAAGUUGAAGGACUCAGCUACUUAUGGCUAAUGAAUUUGUUCAGGGUUCAGAAGACCGUAACCGGAUGGUUUGAGUUUCCAACGCAUUUGCAGCAUUGCCUUUUUCAAAUUUUAGUAAGCCCCAAAAUUACACCACUGAAAUUAAGCAACCAAACUCAGUAAAGGGAUACGUUCAAAAUGCAGAUAUUACCUUAUUACAUCCAAACAAAACGUAUGAAAUAUCAUGUUUAUGGGAAUUCCUAGAUUAGUGUGAAUAGUCCCAAGAGGAGCAACAAUAUCACCAACAUCCUCCCCGGAAGGCCGAAACAUGGCCCUUAUAGAUUUGGGAUAACACAACAAACCUACAGAUGCAAAGCAUGACAGUGAAACUUUGCUCAUAUGUCAGCUUAUUAGUGCAACCAGAAAACCAUAAUGCUUUUAGAAAAUAUUGGUCACUUGGAAAAAUAAAUAAACACAGAUUCUAGAGUACUAAGUGACAAUGUGUUACCGGUAUUAUGAGCAGCUCUGCAGAAAUCAAAGUUCAGUUCUCACAAACUCAGCUUCAUAUUUCAGUCUAUUUGUUGUUCACCUUUAACCCCACUUCAGGUGGGUUUCAUUCUCAUGCUUCAUGAUAGCAUAAGCAGCAAGUAUACAGUACCUUAGUCUUAAAAAAACAUAUAAUUUUCUUCCCUGUUACAUUGUGUCGUCAGUGGUGUUCCCCAUAUAAUUGACAUAUAUUCUUUGAACAUUCUAAAAGAAAAAAGGGGAUCAAACUUGUUACACACAUGUUCCCCAAAUAAUUGACUUUCUCCUCUAUCAAAAUCUAUUUGACAGAGAGAAUGGGUUAAAAUUCAGAUAUAUUGCCAGACUUACAGUUGUACAUAAUUGAAGUUAAGAACAAAGCAUUUCAAAAAUAAGAAACAAGGGAAUAUGAAACAUAUGAAAUUUGUAAACAAAGAAUGAGCAAAACAACAAAACAUGUGCAUCCAAAACUUAUUUAUUCCUACUUACUACUUACAUGAAUUAUAUUCUGAGUCUUCUGAGUGAGUUCCAGGUACCAAUGAGCCAAAUGGAAUCACGAUCAAAUUCGUUAGCAAGUGAUUGACGAACCGCCUAUGAUUUAUCGAAAUUAUGUCCAAUUAUGCUAUCUCAGAUAAGCAUCAACAUAAAAAUUUCCUACAACAACCUUCAUUUAUAUUAAAAGAUCAUGCAUUUUACUUGACGCUCUUUUACCAAAAUAUUGCAGUAAUCAAGUCAUGACCCAAAGAUUUCCGCACAUUUUACGGACUACAAAAUUAUAAAUCACCACAUGAAUUUAUUUUGUUUCAAAAUACCGCGCCAGAUUGCCAGAAGACCAUGAGUAAGAAAGAAGUGUCUACUCUUGGCAAAAGUCUAAACUACUCCUAAGUGCCCAUCGAUGGAAGGAAAUCUCAAUCAAUACAGGGGCACAUUGAGGAGUAAGACGGAGAGAGGUAUGGAUAGGGUUAGUUACCUUGAGGUGCUGGAUGCCGAACGAGUGGUCCAUGAGGGCCAGGGGAGAGUAUCCGGCGAUGGAGAUCGCCUGCGCAAGGGACGCCGAUGACUGUCAGCAGCAUGGUGCUGCCCCCGCCAAGCGCAGCCUCAACGGUGGCCAACAGGCGGCGGCGGCCAUCGUCUUCAUCAUCCGCCGCUGCUUCAUGUGUGAGGAAGAGGAACGGCGGAGGGCGCCUGCGCAAGGGACGCCGAUGACUGUCGGCAGCAUGGUGCCGCCCCCGCCAAGCGCGGCCUCAACGGUGGCCAACAGGCGGCGACGGCCGUCGUCUUCAUCGUCCGCAAUUGCUUCAUGUGUGAGGAAGAGGAAUGGCGGAGGGCGCCCACGCGGGAGACACUGAUGACGUCGAGCGCCCCGGUGCCGCCCCCGUCGAGCGCGGCCUCGGCGGGGGCCAACUGGCAGUGGAGGCCGCCAUCGUCAUCCGCCGUUGUGUCGUGCGAGAGGAGGGGCGCUGGUGACGAGACGUCUCUGGAGUAGGGGAUGGGAUGGGGACGAUGGCGGAUCUGGAGGGCUAGAAAGGAGGAGGUGGAUCGAGAGAACGGAAAGAACGGGUGCGUGGAGAACGGUGGAACGUGGUGCGGGAGAGAGGAGCUAAUUACGGCCGUGAUUGAUUGUUGGAUUGUUUUUUUUUUAGGGUUCAGAUAGGGAUGGUUUUCUUGGGGUGCGGGGAUCGGACGGGUGGGACGAGUGCGACGGAUGAACGUACGUACCAAACUCGAAAUUAAGUAGUAGUAAAGAUAGGGUGCUAAAUUAGGCAUUUGCAAUGACAGGUGACAGUUCACGUGGGUGCCAUGCUUUCCUUUUCCGUGACAAAUAGUACUCCCUCUGAUUCUAAAUUCUUGACUCAAAUUUGUCAAAAUAUGGAUGUAUCUAUUCUUAAAAAACGUCUACAUACACGUAAUAUUUUGACAAUAAUUUAGUAUUGGAGGGAGUAGUAUGUAUGUAAGGUUCGUGCUAACCUACAUGUUGACCCUACAAGCAAUUUUUUCUUUGAAAGCAUGCCAAAAUGCCAAAUUAGUCCUUAAAAAAAAGCUAGCCAAAUUAAAGCAUCCGGUUUUGUUCCUCAUCGUUCAUUUCCCUCCCUCCCUCCUUCCCUCCCACCCAUGUUGUCGUACAAUUGUUUUUUUUAACGGGUAAGGCUUCUCAUUUCUCAAAUAAUAGUACAAUUGGGUUUACCUGCCAUUUGCUGCCCAGCCACUAAUUGGUGCUUAUCUUCACGCCUUGUCGCCCCCUUGCAAUGGCAUUCAUCGGUUGGUUAAAAAGGGAAAAACAAGUUUGCAGCACCGGUACAUUUGUACAUCCUUUUCUAUCCACGCAACCACGCGAGGCCGGACGACACGUGCUGAUGCGACUGACGGGAAAGCUGGUUUGGACGGAUGAGCAGAGAGAGAGAACCCGCGCUCGAGCCGCACGUCGGUUUCUUCUUGCAGGAUAAACAUUGCACGUACCAAACGAGCAAAAAUAAGGAACCGGGUGCCAUAUAUAUCCACUCGAUCGGCUCGGACUUUGUCGCCGCCGCCGCGGCUGCUGCUCCUGGCGUCCCGCAGACAGAUUCCCACGAGCCUUGGGCUUCAUCACACGGAUGCCUGUUACCACUCGAUCGACCAGCCCAAAUAGUCUAGCCGUCCGGACUUCGCGUGCGUGCUGCUCAUAUAAUUGUUGGUUGCGUGGGGGCAAUUAUUGACGUACGUGUAGGCGCGCGUACUAGGAUUAAUCUAUCGACGACCACCGUCAUUCACGAGGUCCGGUCGCGUUUGCUAUCGAGCCCAGGCUCCUAGCUAGUUCGACCGGAUAAGGCCGUUCCCGAAUCUAGUCUCAGUGGCAGUAGAAGAACAGUAGCAGCAUUCUGGUGUGUUCUCUGCCAUUGCUCAUGGGGAAAUAGCGGUGUGGUUGAUCUGGUGGAUUUUUGUGCGGAACCCGACAAGCAUGCAUAUUAAAUGGCUUAAAUUUGUCAAAUAAAUAUAAAUGCAUCUGAAACCAAAACGGGACGGAGGAAGUACCAGUAGUAUAAAAGAACUGUGCACAUAAUGCAUGGACGAUGAAAUGGCCUCACAUGGCGAUCGACCGCGCGCGCUUAGGGCGCCGGCACACGUAGAAGAGAGCCUCGUGCUCGCGCGCGAGCUGAGCAUAUAGCACGUACGGUCCGAGCGGCGUCCCGGGCGGGGAUCUGCAGCCUAGGCCUGUCCGGGGCGCCGUCGCAUCGGUCGAUCCAUCGAUGGCGGGACACGGGACACACUGCACACAGCACGAACACGUGCGUGCAUGCGCUAGCUGCAUAUGCCAAAUCUGGUCUCGGUUCACGUUGGUACGUACGCGCUCGAUUGAUCGAUCGAUGGACAACUGACGUAUCGAUUCGAUACGUCAGGGAGGGCUACGUACGGAAAGCUAUAGCUAGCGGGGCCGCCAGAAUCGAGCAGGGGCUCGAUCGAUUCAGAUUCGAUUCGAUCUGGGGUCGAGAAAUAUGUGUGUGACUAGCUGCUGCUAUACGCACGUGCAUAAUACUACUGGUAUGCUACACUUCUCGUUAACUAAGAUGAUCUAUCAGCCGGAGGUGGCCCGUUAAAUUGAAGAGAGGGAGAGAGAAACGUUCAAACUGAAAGGAAAAAAUGGUGUAACUAUUUUCAAACAAAGGUAUUAAAUGUCGAUGGACAUGUCAGAGACAUCGGAUCAAGAUCCGAGGGUCAUCCACACUUUCCCCUCCGUAACGUGUUAUCGCUGGAUUAAAAUCUGACGACCAACAGGGGCGGAGUUACAGCGUAGACAUUGGGUUCAGAUGAGGAAUUGGAUCCGAGCCUACACAUAUGAACCCCAUGAUUAUAGUGUAAUGAACCCAGUGGUUUCCUUUUCUGGCUCCACCCGUGACGACCAAUCACGUCGACUUGUCUCUAACUAAAAAAAUACAGACGACUUCUUAAUAGCAAAACAUGAAAAAGGAAUAUAAUGUCUCUGUAAAAUAUAGAAAGACGUGGUUCUCCGUUAAGAUGUUGUGGUUAUUUCUCUUCUGUCAGUUGACCAUUUUUGUCCCCGUCUGAUCCAGCGCCGCUCCGUUACCGUACCAUGUUUUUUCACGUCAUUAUCCGUCCGUAUUCCUUAUUUGUUUUUGCAUUCAUAUCAUGUCCGUGCCGCUUCCAAACCAAUGGAAAUUGUGAAAUAAAAUAUGGUACUAUAUAAAAUCAUUAUCCGGUCCCGUUUUACAUAUAUGCUAUAUUCCUCAAGUAUGUACAUCGAUCGCGGUCUUGUAUGAUUCAAAAACAAAAACGAAAUAUCAGUAGAGAGCAAGCGUACAUGCACACGCAGGAUAUGCUUUCGUUGGUUAAUUCGGUGUACGUACGGACCACCGCGAUGUCUCUGCGCCCGUCGACGUCACACACGCUUACGUGAGUGCGUGCGUACAGUCGGUGAUUAAUCGAUCCGGAAACGUGCCAAUAUAGUCUGCAGCCGCGCCGGCUUUUUAUACUCCCUGCAAUCAAUGCACCCGGCCCUCUCGUUUCGGCCGAAAACUGCAUACCACGCUCGAUCGAAUCAUCCAAGUAUACAGAUACACACAUGCUUCUCGAUGACUCGAUCGAUGGACUUACGGUAUAAUCGUACAGUAGUUGCUUUCGCUUCCAGACGUAGGUACACGGAACGACGAACCGGGAAAAACGGCCCUCCUGCUCCUGGCUUGGAAUCAUUCCACCUCUGGUGGAAAUCCUGGACCACCCGUACGUCCAUAUGCUCCCUUGCGAGUUGCAGACACGUUAUACGUACUCAUGUAAUCGCUCCGUUUCAUAAAAAUUGACACGAUUUUAAAUCAGAACUAAGUUAAAAUCAUGUCAAUCUUCGUGAAACGGAGGAAGUACCUGACAGGAAUGCAUGCAGGGAUCAGGCACUCCAGUUUGGAGUUGGAACGGGGCACACAUGUGGAAAAAGUUUCGAACUAACAAGGUGGCGACUGCGACCAAAGCCAGAACCAUUUUUUGUCGAGCACGAUCGAUCGACCUGCAGCGCCAGAGCCACUAGAGGGCCCAGAUCAGCUUGCCCCGCCCCAAUUCCAUGCGUUCCGGUUGUUUCCUUUCGAGCCCCCUGCCCCAGUUGCCUGCCCUUUUAUCUCUCAGCGAUCAGUUACGUUCAUGCAUUCUUGGCCACACGUACCUACACUACAAUCGGUACUACUACGUACAUGCGAGAUAGCUAUGUCCCGAUCGAGCCUGCAAUUAACGGCAACUCGACCGAUCAAUCUGCAAGUAGAGACAGUAAUCUCGAAUUUGGUUCAAAAGCAGGCAGCGAAUCCUGGAACGACCAAGUUACACGGUACUCCUAUGUAAGCUAGUACUAGUACAACUAGUAGCAUGCCACCGGUGGAUCACUCACCUGGGGAUACAAAACCGUUCUCCUUCGAUUAGAGUCGUCUGCAUUAUUGACAGUUUCGAUGGACCAGGCAGACAGAAGCAAAGCCUGGAUGCGCGCGGGAUCCACUUGUCCAGCAAAAGGGCACGAAUCGGGGAGGUCACAGGACUUAAACAUACGAUAGGCCACGCGAGCCAAAGGCGUGCCGUACUGUGCUGCCCCUGCCUGGCCUGUCGUGUGAUGUGACAGAAAAAAAUUAAAGGGAGCGGCGAACCUGCGUUUCAUGAUCAUUGAUAGAUGGAUGGGUGGAUCGAGCUAGUAUUAAGCUGGUUGUGGUGUGUGUGUGUGGAGGGGGGUCUGUCUUUGAAAAGUCGACGCUGCAUGCGGACGUUCAGUUUCAAGUGGCGUGCAAGAUGUUCCUAGUGAAAAUGUGAAAUCAUGGGGGAAAUAGGCGAAGUUUGCAGGGUUGAACGGCACACCGCGUUUGGCUGACGGCUCUAUGCGCGGAUAUGAUGUUUUCUUUUUAACGAAUAUUCUGAUAUUUUUCAAUACCAAAACCGUAUUCGGAGUUAGCUGGCGUCUGAAUUUUAAACAGAAGACUUAAAUCUCCGGACUCUUGAAUUAAGAUCUAAGUGUCAUCCCCACUCUCUCUUCUCCCGCAUGCUGUUGUUGGAUUAAGAUCCAAUGUUCAAACACGUCAGCUGAUCGCUAACUAAGAAACAAGCGACUUCUUAAUAGCAAACCGUUUUCUGAAUCCCCACAUUCGAUAAUAAAAUUCCACCGGGAACCUACCAUGCUGUAUGCAGAUAUCGACCUUCUUUUUUUGGAUUGUGAUAAGUGUAUUUUCAUAGUUUAAAUAUUGUUCACGGUGCAAAUUCCGCCCUUGCGUGGCGGGUUAUUGGACAUUCAACUGUGGAUACCGAGCUUAGCAAAUUUUUGUCGAACUCUUUUUGGAAUGGAAUGGAUUAAUACAAUUUGACUAAGAGUCAUCAUUUUUAUGGUUUAGGGUGGUGGCUGCACCCCAAAACCUACCAAGGAUCGAACCCCAGGUUUGACCCUCGGCGUGUCUCAUUUGAGCCGAAUUUCUUUUGGCAGUAGGAGAUGCAAUCCGUUCACGCUUCACACUGAAGCGUCAGUGACUUCGUCGAUCUCAAAACGUUUUCACGAUUCUGGUCAUCCGUGUGAGUGUGUGCGCACGGCGGUGUACGUCGUGUGUGAUCAUUGUUCCUAAAAUAAAGUACUUCCUUCGUCUAACAAAGGAUGUCUGAAUUUUGAUUAAAUUUGAAUGCAUCUAUACAUCAAGUCAUGUCUACAUACAUCAACAUUUUGACAAACUUGAGACAUCUUUUGCUGGACGGUGAAAGUAUAGGAGCCCGGGAAUAGCCGCAUCUUAUUACAAGCAAUUAAUAUUUCGACCCUGAACCAGUUUGAGCUUAACCCCAGUGGAUCGGAAUCGGGUUCACUGAGCGAGCGAGCGCUCCAUUACAGAUUUUUACAGGCACUGAGGCACCGUCUCUUCCUGCUGCCCCCCUCCGGGGAGCUAGCUGCGUGCUAUGGACCGCCCAUUCGUGGAACGGGCUGUACCCACCAAUACCUACGUACCUGCGCGCCUGCCAUGCCACCCCUCUGCCACGGGGGGCUGUCGGCUCCAAAGAAUCAUGCAAUAAUUACCAGCUUCUUCUAUCGGCGGCAUACAGAGGAGAGGAUUGAGCUUUUGAGCAUCUCGUGUGCAGAGAGAAUCUCUCUGCCCGUUCGCGCCAGGUGGAUGUAUUUACUUGCGCCAGGAGCAAACGAGCAACUCGUGACCGCCUACGCACGUUUCCCCGACUAGACAAGUCAAUUGGUGAAAAUUGGUGAAAUUGGCAGCUAGCUUAUUUAUCCCUUUAUCCAUUCGCACCCACCCCACCCCGGCCACCCUCCGCGCUGCGCAUGCAUGCAUGUCCUCGUGGGCUCUCGAGGACUUGAAGUACGUACGUCGCAUGCAUGCAGAUAAGACGGAGCUAGAGAGAAAGCCUCUUCUUUUCGCUCGUGGCCCGGCAUGUGCAUGCCAAUGGCAAUGCCAGCGUCCCAGUCAGCUACUCUCUCCGUUCCAAAUUCUUGCCUCAAAUUUAUCCAAAAAUAAAUAUAUUUAUUUUUUAAAAACGUUUAUAUACAUGUAAUAGUCCGACAAAAAUUAUGAAACGGAAGGAAUACUGACCAUAGCUAUGGUCAGUACAACUCCUAGUGACAAGUGCAAGCAGGGGAAGUUCAUACUCUAUGUGGGAGGUGCAAUGCAUCUCUCGCUCUAAAGACGUGGUACUCCUAGACUACAGGACUACCACGUACUGGAUUCAUCGAGAUGUGAUGGAACGGUGUACCAGGGUGCGUGGCAUGCAUGUAGACGCCGGGCCGAUCGAUGUAUGUCGAGAGCGGGAUAUGGACAACGAAAAAGGGUGUGGGCAGGGUAGGUGUUCGAUCAAAAUCCACGGACAGUUCCAAACUGAGGAGACCAUGGGGAAACUACUGGACAUCGGGGGUAUAGUGUUCACGUGACGUCAGAACUGGGGAGAGCUACACAACCUCAAGUCGUCGUCUUCUGGUAAGCAAGAGGACCCUUGUUUGGGAGCGCAAUGCAAGUGCAGAUGUUGUGCAGGCGCAGCAGAGACGUGACCCUUGCAGAAGAAAACGCGAAGAGCCGGGUAUAGUGGAUAUGUGGAUGCGUGAAUUAUCGUGGGCCGGGCCGCUUCAAAGCCUGGUAACGCGUGUCGUCGUGGCCUGGCCCAGAUUAUGCUGCUCAUCCGUCCAGCUCGCAAUACAUGAAGAGAAGUUCAAAAACCCGCUGUCCACUUUUGCAUUUAUCCAACGUUUCCUUGAUGAUUUGUCUCUCAUUCGUGAUGUUGUCCAUGCUGUGACACCGGAGCCUCCUCCUGGUGGUGGUCGCCUUGUCCCGCCCACCAACCGCUGGUCUCCUCCGUCGGCUGGUAUGUGUAAAAUUAAUGCGGAUGCUGGAGUUGCAAGGUCAGGUGCAGGUGGUUCUUGUGCUGCGGUCUGUCGCGAUGAAUGUGGAAGAUUCAUGAGAGCCUCUUCGAUUACAAUCGAGGGCAUGACCGACCCUACAAUACUUGAAGCAUUGGCAUGUAAUGAAGGCUUGUCUCUGGCCUUGGACCUUAACAUCUCAAAAGUUUGUGUUGUUUCGUACUGCUUAACGGUUAUCAAGAGUCUACAACAAGAUGAUCUUUGCUAUUAUAGUGCGAUCAUUAAGGAUAUUGUGGCAAGGAAGGAUCAGUUCCGUGAUGCUGUUUUCAGACGUGAGAAGAGAACUCUUUAUAGAGAUGCUCAUAAUCUAGUUAGAGCGGAGUUACCGCUUUCUGUUGGCCAUCAUAUUUGGCUUUUAAGUACCCCAUGCAUUACUUGUAUUCCUGUUCAAGUUGGUGUUGAAUAAAGCUGGCCUUUCCCCUAAAAAUAAAAUAUCCGUCCAGCAGAACUGAAUCCCCAAUAGCGCGGUUACAAGACAAGAAUGAUUAUGUAAUUAUGUUCCUUGUUAUCGUUUCACUUUGCACCACAGAAAGAGUGCUCUGUUUGGCUCCACCAAGGCAAAAGGAAAGAGAAACAGGAACCGAGGAGUGUCUCAUUGUCAAUUACUAAUUCAGCCAACGAACCCAUAAAACAUGUACCGACGCAAAUGCAAUUCAUCAGAAGUGUUCUUCAAGGAAGAACACAGACAGGGUAUCGGACUACCGGUGACUAUGUUUGGAUAUCUUACAUGCUCAGAAUGCUGCGGGCGAGUUAACUGGGAAAUAAUUGAAGAUGAAGAAAGGACACAGCAAGUUACAUAAGCGGCAACAGAUUUUGCUAGAGUGGCACAGCAGUGGCAGGUGCUGGAACAUGCACCUCAAAUACAAUCAGGAACUCGAACUGUUUAUAGCUUUGGACACUUUCUUCCAUCGCAAAACACUUCGAGUUUGUUCUUAUCAAGCAAAUGGUUUUCGAUUAGGCCCAGAUAUGACAUGGUGUUAUUACAUGCAUAACAGCGCUGGCUUGUCAAGCACCACUGGCAUACAGGCGAGUCCACUCCUUCGCUGCAAAGCAAAAAAAAAAUUGACAUGUUAGGUACAAAAAGCAAUGAAAAGUGGAGCAAAAUGACAUGCUAGUGUAUCAAAGUGCAGUGUUAGCGUGCGGCUUUGUUGGCUGAAUUUUCAGUUACCUGUCUCGACAGCUUCAGCUUCAUUGGAUUUCCAGUGUUUUGCCACGUUUUCUGAGAGCGGAUCAUCUGGAUUCGGAGCGCUCAGCAGUGCCUGAAUGCUGCAGACCAAACAUUGUAAAGAGGCAAAAAAAAAAGAGUAUACAAUAGUGGAUACAAGAAGCAACCCUCUGGAAAUACGAUAAUAUGAUACGAUCAUGAACUAUAAUGAAACUAUUUGGCCAAACAUGCCACGGAAGACAGAAGAGGUUGCUACCUCAAAAGAACAGUACGUAUCUGAAGAGCUGGGCUCCAUUUGUCCUUCAGGAUAUCGAGGCAUAUCCUACCAAGCUGCAGUGCAAGUCAAUCCGAAAUGAGAAACUGUUAUCGAAUGAAGUUCCAUUGAGAAUAUCAGUUCCCUACCUUGUCAAUGUUGGGAUGGUAUAUUUUUGUGAGAAACCUAACCUGCGUCAGGAAUAACCAAAGAGUGAUGUCCAUCAGAAAGAAUCACAACAGAGACAACAUACAGAAAAGUCAAAUAGAAUUGUGUAACUACUUUGGUUAGACGACAGUGUCACACUAAAACUAAAACAACCAUGUUGAUAUCCGUAAGAGUAAAACAGUCCAAGGACAGGAGUUGAGAACAAAAUAUUCAGCUACCUCUUAUUUAACAUGAUGGAAAUUACUACUCCCUCCGAUCCAUAUUAAUUGUCGAAAUAUUACAUGUAUCUAGACAAUUUUUUAGCCAUAGAUACAUCCAUAUUUGGGCAAAUUUGAGACAAUUAAUAUGGAUCGGAGGGAGUAUUAGUCUGAGUCUCAGAUGAUAUAUCACAAUGUCAGUACACUCCAAAUAUAGCAUUGCCAAUUAAGUAAAGUAAAGUACGGAACUGUGCAAAGGAGAUUAGUUAAGUGAACGGAGAGAGAAAUCUAGUAUGGAUACGAAAAGUAUUAACACAAUACUAAACAUGGGCAUUCAGUAUUCCUGAUCACAAAGAUGGUAUGCAAAUCUAUUAAUGGUACAUAUCAACAACAAACAUGGGCGCUGCCCAAAAUAAGAUGUCACAAUAAAUUGCUGGUUUCGGUUAACCACAGGCAUAAUUAAACGUCCAUCCCACUGUCGCACCAUAGCAUGAUAAAAUCAUUGCGAAGAUCGCUCUGCCAGAUUUUGAACUCAAAUUUCAGUUACAACUUACAACUAGGAAAUGAACCAAAUUCCACAUCAAGGAGCCUACCGGGACAAGAAAAUCCAUCACAAUAUGUGUCAAACUAAUAACUUCUUAAACAACCAUCCACUAAUACUUGAUCAAAAAAUUACUUUUGGAGCAGCCAUCGGAUAUUCCUCAGGUAAGAAAAGUUCAAGCUUGAAAACUCCACCUGUCCAACACAUAUUAGAAGAAAUAUCAGGAGGACCAGACACAGACAACUAAACAAAAUAAUGUUUCACCCAAUUAAAAAUGUCAUAAGCAAAUACAGUAUACAAAGAUAAGUAAACCAAGCUUAAAUAAAUAAGAUAACAUAGUGACAAAUGUACUGUCUAACAAUAGGAAAACAGGUCGUUCUGUGUACCAUUUAUCAUAUACAUGCACCGCAUUUCAUUACUCCAUGUUGCAUGGAAACAUGGUAGAUAGUUCCUUGUGCCGUAUAUCAGUAAACUUCAGUAAUCGCAAAGGUUAAGGAAACCCAAGACAUUCAAUUCCCAUAGGUUACUGAUAUAUGGUACAGUUGUAGAUCUAGCAUGUUAAGGAAACUACAAACUUGUGCCCCAUAUCAUAUCUAAACUAAUAGCAGGUAUAACUGUUGAAGUAUAAGGUGAAUUGCCCUCAUUUCUCCAUCAGCUUAGGCUUUUAGGGGCACUGGUUCGGCCCAUAUGCAACUCUCCAUGGUAUCCGAGCCAAGAGGUCCCGAGUUCAAGCUCAAUAUAAUAAAAAGGCACUUUUGAUCCAUGAGGGGGAGUGUUGAAGUACGAAAUGAAUUGCACUCGUUUCCCCAUCAGCUUAGACUUUUGGGUGAACUGGUUCGGCACAAGCAACUCUACAAAAGGCAGUCUUCCUAUGUGGAAUAACUUCUACAAAUAAAAAACCAGGUUCACUAGAGCUUAAGAUAACCGAUGAAAUGGACUUGUCAAGCUAUAUUUUGUGAUGGAUUCAACAAAGCAGAAUCUCAAAGUAUAGAAUCCAAAAGGCACAGAAGAGUACAAUUACCACUGGAACAGCUGGGUACAAGAUGGUCGGAUUGCUGGUCUAGCAAACAUAAGUUUAGAAGUGUAUAGUUCCGGCAGCACUAGAACAACACCUUUAUGUGACCAUCCUGAUAUGAUCAUCCAUCUGUGAUGUUUUACUACAUAUUUGCAGCAUUUUACAAACAAAAAGAGCCAUAGAUACGAAAAUGGGGACGCGGUGACCACAGUUACAGUCCUAAAUUGCCACAGAACUACGCAUUCGUGCUCCAAAGUAUUACAGGGUUAUCGGCAUACGAAACAUUCCAACAGAAAUAAAAUGAAAAGGAGGUUUUACCUUCAUAAGGAGACUGCGCCGGACCAAGGACCAUGACAUUGAAGUAGCGCAUGUUCUCCUCCGACGGCGACGCGCUAAUCCCCGGCGCUGCACGCACCCCCCCAACACACGAAUCAGCACAAACAUCCGAGGCUCGAACGCGGACAACACAACAGGAGCAUCGAAUUCUAGGAAAACGAACCUGGUUCGCUGAGCAGCCGCUGCGUCUCCUGCAGCAGAUCCAAAUUCCGAACAGAUUAGGCACCACGCACAAGGAAUAACCAGACGAUAAGGUUAUCAUAUCGCGUUAGAGUCUCAGAAACGGCUGUAGAUCUGGGGGGGUGAGGGGCGAUCGGAUCGCGGGGUAGGGCGCGCGCACCUUGAUGAUCCGGCGCGGGAGGUUGCUGUUGGCCAUGGAGUCCGGCCGGGGCUGGAGCGAGAGCCUAGAGGGGAGGGGGGGAGGGACCGCCUCGAGCUUCGCGCGGCGACGGAGGAGAAGACAGCGCGAGAGAGGUCAAAGGAGUCGUCGAUCUGUCGGGGAGGGCGAGCCGGGGGAGGAGGCGACGAACGAACAGAAAUGGGUCAGGGUCCGAUACUGUGUACCACGUAUUUAUAAACUCCACGCUACAGCCGCUGCUGCUGAUAUUUUCCUUUUCCUCUUGAGCUGGUGUUUUCGUUUUAUACUCUACCGACCUGUUUGUUUGUCCUUCUAUUUCAGUUUUUUUGCAUCUGGCAAUCUUAAAAGCAUCUUUUCUGUUUACACGUGAAGCUGAGAGGCACCUCCGAACAUGCUAAACACUGUUUACACAUGAAGCUGAGAAGCACCUUCGGACGUGCUAAACAGAAAAAGUGCUUUUGAGAUUGCUAAAAGUACCAAAAACUGAAACAGAAGUCCAAACAAAUAGGCCCAGAGUCUGCUGGAUUGUGAAUUUGAAUACGCACACGGCGAAAUCAAAAUACGAAGUCAUGGCCACUAUGUUUAAAAUAAAAUUCGUGUACUUGGACAAAACAGAAGUUGUUCGGUGAAUAAAAAAACCCUAGAAAUGAUUUUCCGACGUAAUAAACGGUAUAAUAGUACUACUAGUAGUACGAGGGCUGCUGCAGCGGAGAUUAAAAAAAAACGGUGUUCGUUUUAGGUGAGCCAGGGAGAGCAUCUCUCCACGCGAAGGGAGCACACAAUUUAUGCAUGUGCAGAGAGAGAGAGCACGGAGAAGAACAACCUUUGGGUUUGCCUAAUUGCAACGGCCAACUUGUGACUUUGUGUUGUGCGCGCUCGUCGUGGAAGGAUCUCAGGCGAAAAGGAAGGUGGGGGAAAGCUCGAUUAUUCUCCGCAGCUUCAAUCCCACGCUAAGCCGCCUGGUCGAAAAGGUUUGGCUGGCCAAACCGGUUUUGCAUGGUACUCCGUAACAUGUUUUUCAAGUUUUUUAGAACUUUGGAGGAACUCGAAACAAAUUGAGAGCAUACGCUUUCUAAGAGUUGAAAAGUAUUAUUUUCGAAGCACGGGCAGUCGGGCACGGGCAUCAGAGCAUCUCCGUUGCCAGUCGCUCGAAGCGAAGAGAAAUCACGCACUUCCUCUGCUACCGAAGCGAAGGCAGGAACAAGAACAACAGCGACGAGACACAGCCAGAAAUUCGGCAUAGUAUUUGCUCAGGGCUAGAUUCCACUGUAUUCGCUGUAAUCUGGUAAAGCAUGUCGCAUGUGCCCAGACUACAGGAGGAUUUCAAGACAAGUAUCCAGUCCUGUCUUAUUUACAACAGAUAGCGUGCAAAACUAUGCUCAAGAAUCAAGAUAGAUAAAUAACACUGGAUUUCCCCAGUACUUGCUACUUCACCGAACUACGGAGUACAACUGGUAAAGAAUAGUUUCACAAGUCGGAUCCUGAGAUCACAAUGAAAGAGAAGAUACAACAGGGAGUAUUAAAUCUGCACAUGAUCACAAGGAAAUCCAGAUGCACAUGAAUCCAGACAAUAGGAAGAACAGGGAACAGUUUGACAUAUUUUUUCUAAUAAAACAGAAGGUCAGAGUUGCAUGCCUACAUUGUCAACAAAAUAAUAGAUGAAUUGCACGAACAUACCUCAACGACUCAAUGUCAACAUGGAUUUACACUAACAAUUUUUAGUCUUUGACCUUUCAUACUCUUCAGAAUUAAUUAUUACCAGACUAAAAACUACAAUGCACCUAAGAACACGAGCUUUCGCUUCAGAAUAUCCCAAGGAUGGUGGGGGCAGGUGGAGCACGCCAUCAUUGGAGAGCAAGAGCAACGCCAUGUCAUUAACUGAUCAUCUUCAAAUGAUAAUCUGUAGAAGAGACAAUGGACAAGAGUCAAUUGAUCGCUUCACCAAACAGUAACAUUACAAAUUUGCUAUACAGGCUCCAAACAAACUGAUUUUCUAUCAGUCUACGCUUAAACAUAGCAGUUAACAGGGGCAAAGCUUAACACAGGCCCAUCAGCAAUCAUGCAGAGAACAAGGCAAGGCAGAUCAUCCAUGGGAAUCACACAACAAUCCACAAGGAAGCAUGCAUUACAUUCUUUGGAAAGCCAAUCAAGAGAAAUCUGGGUUCAGCGAUCGGAAAGAUUUACAAUGGAUAAGAUAUGUCAAAAUUUCAGUACUGGAAACUUCAGUUACAAAGCAAUUUGAUAAAUCUUACAUGCCAAGACAAGUAUAGAAGAUAUAUCUUUAUAUAAUAAUACUGACUCGUAAUUGUUAGGCUUACAGCAAAAAAAAGGUUAAGUUUCAUUAAACAAGCUUAUUUAUCGGUCUCUGAGGAGCUGGGUUACCUGUAGAUAAAUGGGACCAGAAACUAAGAGGUUACCUGUUGACUCAAGCUUAUGCUUAUUUUGGCGAUACACGUACUCUUAGGCUGGACAUAAUUCACCCUAACGAUUCUCACUAAGACAUGAGAAAGGAAUUCUAGUACGGAAAGGAAGUGAAAACCAGCGCAUGUGCAUCCAAGUGACUCCUAGUGAAACAGCACAGAGAGUGUCCCAGAUCGAUUUUAACUCUGAGUCACCAAGUGGUUCGUCGGUAUCAAUUUGAUCCUAACAGAUUCCAGGCAAUACCAUCAUAUGUCACCCAGUCAUGAUUUCCAGGAAAAGAAUAUAAGUAUUUUCAUCAUACAGACAGAAUUGAAGAAAAACUAUUAUUAGACCAUACAUUAUGGUCUUUCAUUUGUCAUGACAAAAAUGUACUCCCUCCGAUCCAUAAAAGGUGACGCCCAUUUUGUACUAAGUUAGCACAAAUUUUGUACUAGGUGGGCGACACAUUUUAUGGAUCGGAGGGAGUAAUAAGAAACACUAAAAGCUCAAGAUAGAAACUAUGAUUAGUUAGUUCAAUCUUUUAAUAACACCUAUGACAUAACAGAGCUGCACAAUUAUAAUUCUGUAAAUUUUAUCACACCCAAAAACCCAGAGAACCAAACGAUAAGAUACAUAAGUACUUAAAUCUACAAUCAUAACGAGAUGGUCAACAUAUCUCAUCAAUGCACAAAAUUAAAUAGAAAAACACACGACGAAAACAUCCACCAAACAUUAUCUACUGAAGACACAAAAUAUAAAUAGAAUCUCACAAAGCCUACACCAGGAUAGAUCUUAUAUGUGAAUAUCAAUGCUCAACAGGACCGAAAGCCUUAUUUAUGAAGGUUAUCGCACAUUUGGGCUAAGGCCAUUGUAACAUAAAAUAGUCCAAAAUGCACAACAUAUGGGGUGGUCGGACUUCGGCAACGAAACUUCAGACAUACUCGCUAGAUUUUCCGAAGCAACAGUAUCUAAACUUUUUUGUUGCUAAUCCUCCGCAGCAACUCGAGCCAAUUGUUUACCAAGAUCCUUAUCGAGAUUAGCUAGAUUAUUAAACCUUGACUGUAGAUAAACGGACAUGUAUGUAACAUAUUGCUCAGAACAAUCAAGUCGGGCUCACCCAAGCUUGUUUACACCCAUAUGAAGGAAAGGCUUAUUGAAUUGCAUUGUCAGGAAAUCAGCACUUCCCCAAACAAACUGAAAGUACCUUUAUUCCACAACCUAUAAACAUCAAUGGAUAUACUCAGAACACAACAGCUUACAUGUGUGGACCUUCCCACCAUUAAGGCCAAACAUAGUAACAAUAAGUUCCACUUAUUAAAAUGUCAUUGUAUACAAGAAUGUCAGAUUAAAUUAUGCCUCUACACAAGCAUACCAAUCCUGUCACUAUCACUGAAAGUCUGAAACAUUAACUAACAGCCAACAUCAUGCCACAUAACUUGUAAUUUUAGCACAUCAACAUUAGCAUUACAGAAACAAUAGUAGCCACAGAUCACAUAAACGAACAAAAACAAUCUACAGCAAUGUUCUAAACUGAAAUGCUAAAACAUACUUUACCUAAAACCCUCGUCCGCAUCAGAGGUAAUUGGAGUUGGAAAGGAAAGGCAGCGCAGCAACGGAUGAAAUCAGCUCCACUCCACCAGCACCAUUGGAUGCAGCCCCUCCGCUCUUCUUCGUGCGCUUCACCCUUGCGAGCUUCACGUGCGCAUCGACGAAGUUCUCCAUGCGCUUCACCUCCAGCUGCUUCAGGAAGUCAAUUCGCUCGCGUUCCAUCUCUAGCGAAUGCUUUUGUUUCGCACUCUCCACGCGCUCAUACAUCUCUGCAAAAGCCUCAAUUGCCCUCGCCAGCUCGCUGACACCACUAUCCCCAUCACCGCCAGCCUCGCGACGAAAGGGACGCUUGUUGCUACCGCCGGAGCGCGCCGACGAGACAGAACGCGACGGUGACCUCCGCAAGUUGUCAUGGUGGUUGUUGUUGUUGUUACCACCAGGAUGAUCACCAGAGUCCUCCGAAUCAGACACCGCUGCAGCGGCGGCAGCGGCUUCCUGCUGGAUGAACGCAGCGGCAGGGAGCAGCGCCCCGCGGCGGUAGCUGGGGAGGGGCAGAGCCAUGGGCGGGGGCGGGGACGGCGAGGAAGAAGGCGACGGGUACUUCCUCGCGGCGGUAGAAGAAGGAUGGACGGGCAGGGCGAGGUGCGGGGCCAUCGCCGGCGAGGGCCGCUUGUUGGCGGCGGAGUUGAGGGUGGGGCCGACGAGUCGGUCGAGCUCGUCGAAGAAGCUCCAGCCCGACGGCGCGCCGCGGACGCGCUCGGCCUUGUACUUCUUCUUGAGGGUGUCGACGCGGUUCUUGCACUGCACGUCGGUGCGCGGCGGGCGGCGGCGCGCGGCGGCCCCGCGGCGCGAGUUGACGGCGUUGGCCACCUCCUGCCACUGCUUCUGGCGCAGGUUGCCGCGGUUGAGCUCCACGUAGCGGCUGCCCCACGCGUCCACCAGCGCCGCCGUCUCGCCCUCGCUCCAGCAGUCCUCCCGGUAGGGCAGGUUAGGGUUGGGCGGCGGCAGCCUCCCAAACCCUCCCCCUCCUCCUCCUCCCCCUCCUCCCGCCGCCGCCGCAGCAGCAGCCGCAGCCAUCUCCCUCACCUCCAUCGGAACCAGAUCUCGCAGGAGCAAACCCUAACCCUAGCUAGCCCGCCCGCCGAGAGAAGAGGACCGAGCGAGCCUCGGGGAAGUCGCGCGUGACGGUGGGCUAUGUGAGCGGUGGGGGGUUCGGGGUUGGAAUAAAAGGACACGGCGAGGGAAGGGGGGAGGUGGGGUCGCCGGCCGCGAGGGGUCCGGGUUCCGUCCGUCACGCACGCGGCACGUGACGCGUGACCGGCGAGGGGGGGGCGGCAUCGGCAUGGCAUAUCUCGCUCGCUCUCGUGUGUCGUGGGUGACCGGAUUCGGAUCGGAGACGUGCCGCCGUUGGAUUGCGUUUGACCGGGUAACCGGCGAUUACUUUCGGGUUUCGGAGGGCGGGUGGGAUAAUGACAGCCAGCCAGGCACAGGCAAAGCAGAGCGCGGCGACAGGCGACAGCCGGAGACCGGACGGAAUACGGUGGCUGGCGCGGGGGUGGGAAAUUACCGCGUUGCCCCUACCCCGGGGAGCAGGCCGGGGCGGCACGCGGCAGGGGCAAGGCGGGGAUUUCGCGUGGGGCGGCGCGGUGUCAGGGGGUGAGCUGGUCGCCGUUGGUCGGUUUGCGUUUCGGGGCCGCCGAAAGAGGGGAGAGGAGAGAGAGAGAAACGCGCCGAGGAUGAUGGGGAAGGGAGAGGAGACUCGCGAACCGAAGACACCGCUGCUCCUCGCUCUGUACUCCAGUCUAGGCUUCUAGCUAGACUCGGCGCGGUGGAGUGGGUGGGUGAAGAGACUGAGGCGCGGGGCCCGCGUGCAAGCAGGCAGGGCGGGCAAUUAUUGUCGCCUCUGGUGCCGUCGCUCGGUACAGAGGACGGACGGACGGACGGCGUGGGCAAAAUUUAAUCGGCGUGCAGCAGGUGCCGGCUGCCGCCUGCAGGCGCCGGUCCUUCGGAUUGAUCGGUGGAUGGAUGCACUCGCCAAUGGCAAUUCAUCCAUCAAACAUCAUUCGUUACUGUAUAUUUUGUGGCAAAUCAAGAUUAGAGGUUCAUCAUCCGUUUACCGUUUUGGUUUGUCCCCUGGCGUCAUCAUCACCGUCUGGGCUUUGGAACUGACAAUAUGGUUCUUUCGGUGAAAUUCAGGUGAAAGUAAAACUCCACCGGUAGAUAGCAGCGGCCAUGGUGCCGUCGUGGGAACAGAGCAGUACGUACGUUACGGGCUCGCGUCAAAUCCUCGACGGAACCGUGCCCGCUGCACCGGUGGGUGAACAGAACACCAUAAAUCCCUCGCGGCCGUGGAGAGAAGUCAGGGGAACCGCGUGUACGUACGUGGUCCUCUCCUGCUAGCUAUAGCUAGGCUGCCCCGUGCGACCGGCGGCGAGGAAACGGCACGCUCGGGAGCCGUCAACAUUGAAUCGGAGGGCCGGGCGGCCGCGAUAGCGUAGCGACCAGCGAGAUACUCAGUCAGUACGGGCUACUUCGGGCUGUCACGCACGCACCGAGCCGGACGGCCGGGCCGACGCGUCGGGCUUGGGAACCACCGGCGCCGCAGGGGCGGGCUCGGACCGCGUCCAACGCCGCAGGCUUUGCAAAGCUUGCGUUGCGUGUACCCCACGCUACCACGCGGGUCCCCUCCACCAAUCAAUUCCAGGCCGGACGGACGGCCGGUACCGUGUACCGACGCGUCGCCCGCCGGAUCUCCGUGGCGUUUUCCUUUGCCUUUAGUUGUGUACCCGCCCCGCUUCACGCCGGCCUUGUGCGGCAGUUGUGUACACACACGCACGCACUUGUACUACUACUGGUGGCCUUGGACUUUGCUGGUUGCUGGUGCGCACCCAGCUUUUUGCGAACGGUUCCGGGAAACGCCGGCGGAAACUUGUGCGGCGGGUCGGUCGGUUGCCGGGGAAGGAAGGAUUCUUCACACAAGCAACGUGAGAUCUGACCAAGGGGAGCAGCAGCCAGCCAGCACGAGCAGCAGUUCGGCGCUGGAGCUACGCGCGAGCUGGGGCAGGAGCUACACGCCAUGUACGUUGCGUCCCCGGGCCGGUUUGAUUUACGACCGGAAGAGCCGCAGCGUUUCCGGCGCGAUGACCGGACAAAUUAGCCGGCUUGGCCGAUGGCUAUACUAUAUCGGAUUGGACAUAUGGAGUGAUAGUGCUCCCGACAGGUAGGAGACGGACGGACGAGAGCGAGUAAACUGCUGCCUGCGACUCUGCGAGUCCUGCCGUGCACGGCUCCAUGGACGGACCGCACGUCCAUGGCCUGUGUAGCUCCGACCGCACCGGACGCAGGCAAGCGGGACGUGCUGUUCAUCCUGCAGACGGGACUGACCCAAGUUAUUGGAGACGCGUCGGCAUUGAAGCCUUUUCCAUUCUCAGGAGCAUGACGUAAUCACGGGAUCACGCACGGCGUGGGCAAAAGAUUACCAGCCGCGCCGCGCGUGCCUGACUGCCUGUGCAGCUGUGCUAUUUUGAGUGCAGAAUACAGUUCUUCAGAACCGCGCCUGUUUUUUGAGGCUAACUGAACAUGCAGUUCCAUACAAUUUCAAAACUCUACGUAUAAUACGGAAGGGUAAAAGAUACUGAGGCGGUCGAGACCACUGUCGCGACACGCGAAGCCUGAAAUCGUAGCGGAUUUACUUUUUCUUUCUCUCGGGGCAACGUCCAGCAACAGCAAGUGACUGCUUGCCGGUUCAUCUGGCCGGACUGAAGGUGCAGAACUAUCUGCUUCCAUGACCAUGUCAUCUUACUGAACUGAUGUUGAUGUUGAUCGAACGGAAACUUGGUAUUAGUGCAAUUUGCAUUUGGUAGACGGGGGGUGGGAUGAAGAAGCUGCAGCGCAUUGGUCAGGGCAGCAGAUGGAAAACGCUGGAGACGGAGGUCAAAGAAGACGCGCGUAAAGGAACCGGUCAGAACAGUGACUUCCUUACUGGAUUUAGGUGACAGGCUGAAAAUUGUUUAUACUUUGGCACGUUGCCUGGGACACAGCAGUGGACAAGUUCGGUUCGGAGAAUUCUAUCCUCCAGUCAUGUUCCUUCUCGGUGAUUAACUAUCAGCUCAUCUGCCAAUCACAUGUUCUGUGGUGACAGCAGCCAGCAAAAAUAACCGAACGGAUUAGUGAUCGCCUAGAUUAUGUAGCUCAAUUUGCAUGCGUAGUUUCAAACGGUAUAAAACGAUGCCUUCGAAGAAAUGGGAGUAGUAAAAAACAUGUGGACUCGAUUUGGGCCGGGCCGCGAUAUCUUCGGUUCUCCACCCUCUUACGCGCAGCGUUUCUUCUCAGUGUCUGCUCAUCACUUGCGUUAGCUUGUAUUGUUUGCCUUCGCUUAAUAUUAGUGCCAUGUUAUCAUGGCUCCAUCGCCCAGUCGAACGCCGGCUAUCAGUUCAAAUUAUGGAUAGUCUAUUGGCUUUGAAUAAUGCGUGUCCUUGCUCUGAUUCCGUUGAGUGUCAUUCCAAGAGUAGGUAUCUAUCAGAAGAAUUUUCAGCAAAUGUCAGUGCUGCUUGAAGUCAACGAGUACUAAUCACAACAUGUGUGAACAUUUGCCAUCCUCCUGCGGUGCACUCUGACCUGCAUUGGAGAGCUGUAUUGCAGCCUGAAGGUCUUCUUCUCUAUUCUACUUCUACAUAUCUACCCACGUGUAUAUGCAGUAUCCUCCGAUGGUUUAGCCCAUGGGCAAUGCAGUUGUCUGCUUCAAUUCUUGGUGUUUCAGAACUAGUAGUACUACUAGAUAUGAUCAGUAUGCUGGGGACAGGACAGUAUGAAUGUACGAUAGAUAAGGUCCUAGAACAUGGGCCACAGGUUAUGCAGAUCGCAGACACGAGUGUUUGGCUGGAACUGAUCUCCGAAUGCGAGACUCCGAGAAACGUUGAUGCCGCUUUCUGUCGAUCACCUUGAGCCAUUGUCCGUCUGCUGGCCUGGCAGGGAAAGUCUACGGAAUGCCAUCUCGAAAGCCAUGGAAAUUCUGUUUUGCCUGACAGAACUCUGGCGUACAUGAGCAACAGCGACCGGAGCGUGGUUUGCCUGCGUGCUUGACUGUAUGGUCACGACGAACACGAGGUGGCGACCAUCCGCCGCGUUAUCCAGGACUGCACCCGUCAGAGAAGGAUCCUUCACUUUUUGGGAAUCCAAUCACUUCGGGAUCCAUCAGAGCAGAAGACACGGCCAUUUCGCCGGCGGCUUUCCCCAUACAGUGCACAUCUCGUGAACUUCCGUCCAUAUUUUCUGGCCAAAUUUGCAAAGGAUUUGUGCUUUUCAGAGUGCAGCAAACGUAGCAAUACCAGGAAACUACGGAGUAGAAUAGGAAGGAACGUACGCCUGUUUGUUCGGGCGGCAAAGUCAGAGCGACACUCUCUCUACUUUGUUUGUUCGUCAGGCCAGGACGCCCGCCAAACCCGACAUGGAUAACUCCAUUAUUGACGAUGGAAAGUAGAAAUCUGACCCCGGGGGCACUAGCAGACGACACUAUCCACAUUGUCUUCACACACCGAGAAUAUGACAAAAUAACAUGCAUUCUUAAUUCACCUAUCGUCCCCAGUACACACCAUCAGAAAACAUCUUCGAUCUUCUAAGGCGUGGAUGCAUUAGGGGUGCGUAUAAAAAUAAUCAUACUCCUUCCGAUACAUAAAAAGUUUCCCACAUUUAGUACAAAAUAUGUACUCCCUCCGUCGAACAAAGGAUGUUUCAACUUUGAUUAAAUUUGAAUGCAUCUAUACACUAAGUCAUGUCUAGAUACAUUUAAAUUUUGACAAACUUGAGACAUCUUUUGUUGGACGGAGGGAGUACUAAUUUUAGUACAAAAUGUGUGACACUUUUUAUGAAUGGGGGGAGUAUCUCCUAGACUCUUUUGAUUCAAAUGAGUUAAUCCUUCAGAAUUUUUUCUAUGUAGGCUUAUUUCAUUCGUAGGAUUAGAUUUUAGUGGAAAUUUGCCUAUGGUUCACUUUGCACUGCAGUGAUGCAAACCAGAUUCCGCGAAAACCCACUUCUAGUUCAUUUUUCAAAUCUUCAAUUCAAAUUUUGAGCAAAAAUUUGGAUAAAAGACUUGAGAAUUGAACUAAAAGUUGACCAUCAAUGGGAUCCCGUUUGCAUCUCUACUGCUCUCAAUUCCAAAGUAAAUUUUCCAUCUAAAUCUAAUCACUUGAAAAAAUUCCUUUGUUUCCAUGAUAACUAUACCAAUGCACGUAAUGUUUUUCUCUGUUUUUCCUCUAAUGCUAGAUUGAGUCUGUUUUUCCUUUAAUGUUUUUCCAACUCGAUUAGUUUAUUCAGGUGGUUUCUUCCUGUAGAAAACAACAUAUCAUGACAUUUCAAUCUUGUGUUUGCUAUUUCAGGGCUCAUUCACUCUACAUGCGUUUUAGAUGAUUUUUCUACAAGAUUUCAACUCUUACACCUUGUUUGGCACAUGUGGGUUUCUUACGUUUUCUAUUUCUACUCUACAAUCUUAAAAUCAUGUUCUCCUUCUGACCUUUGUUCUCAAAUUUAUCUAAAUACGGAUGUAUCUAUGUUUAAAAAAUGUCUAUAUAUAUUUAUAAUAUUUCAGUAACUAAUAUGAAUCGGAGCAACUAACUCGAACGAGCCCUCGGUGUUUGAAUAUUUAAAUACUCCUGAAUGCAAGUAUAGUUCUGCACUCCUACUGCAGCUUGCUACCACGAAACUAAACAUUUCUCUUUCUGCAGCCCCCGACUCGAUCUAGCCGCAGUCCAUGUCGUUCUUUUCGCCCUGGCGUGUGCAAGAGUCGAACCCAUAGUGUGAACAAUUGAGUUAGGCACGAGCCGGAGAGGAGGAGAAAGGACAAAUUAUUGCUCAGAUUAAUCAUCACCUCGAUCGUUGCGGCGCAAUACCGUUAUAUAACGACGGAAUACGGGCCCACACGUCAGUGUAAAGCGAGCUGCUUGCCGCUUUCUCCCUCUUGCGUGACGCCGUCGCCGUCCAGAGCCAUCUGGCCACCGGGCUCCCAGCCCCCCACAGAUGUGCCCCCUGCAUGCGCGCCAUGUAUCAGCCUCUGAUACGUCAGGCCAGGAACCAUCCUCAGCCGUCAGUUCGUCCAUCUCGACGGCUGCGAUCGCGCUGCCGCCACUUAUAAAUAGCACCGAUGCACGCGCGAGAAAGUCCGUUUUACCUUGCUGGGGGGGGGGGGUUUUACUUACAUGAGCGCGGGAAUGGAGGCGGAGCUGGAGGCGGCUCAGCGGCGCUUCCGGCUCUGGUUCCGCGGGCUGCGUUCCCUGCGGCGGGACCUCCGGUCGGCCCGCUGGGCCGGCGACGACCCGGCCCAGCUGGGGAAGCUGGCGGGCGGCUUCGUGGCCCACUUCUCCGACUACUGCGCCGCGCGGGCCGAGCUGGACCCGGUCCUGCUGCUGUCGGCGCCCUGGGCGAGCCCCGCGGAGCGUGGCGCCGCCUACUGGCUGGCCGGGUGGCGGCCGACCACGGUGGUCCACCUGCUGUACACCGAGUCCAGCCGCCGGUUCGAGGCGCAGCUCCCUGACCUGCUCCUGGGCGUGCGGUCGGGCAACCUGGGCGACCUCAGCCCGGCCCAGCUGGCCCAGAUCGACGAGCUCCAGCGCCGCGCCGUCGCCGAGGAAGACGCGCUCUCAAGGGAGAUGGCGCGGCUGCAGGAGGGCCACGGCGUCGUUGGCGGAGACGGGGAUCUGGACGUGGAGGGGAUCGUGAGGCGCGCCGGGGCCGUGGUGGCAGGGGCCGACGCGCUGCGGCUGCGCACCUUGAAGCGCGCCGUGGAGAUCCUCGAGCCGGCGCAGGCCGCCGAGCUGCUCGUCGCCAUGGCCGACAUGGAGAUCGGCUUCCGGGAGUUCGGGCUAAAGCACGGCGACGGCGGUGGCGAGCCGAGCCGCGGCGCGUAGGCAUAGGCGUGGCGCGGUCCAGAGAGCAGAUCCUCAUCCGCAUCGGCGGCUCGGCCCAGUUUUUUUCUUCCAAGUGUUUGCGCUGGUUUGACUGGGACAGAAAGACUGCUCACUGUUGUAAUCUUGUUGCCGUGACGAUUGUCUUUGCCGAACUGUCUCGCGGUGGGUGCUGCGUCGUAGCUGGACCGUGUGCGUGUGCGUGUGCGUGCGCGUGCGCCUGCUGGGAUGUCGUGUGAGAAAGCAAUAAAAUGCAAGGAAUGCAUGCUUGGUUUCGUUGAGAAGUCAUAUUUUGUUUUCGAGCAAGCGGUUUUUUUAACAUCUUUUCCGAUAAAUUGGCUGUUUGUCUGUUCACUACAGAAGACCCGUCCUUUUAAAAACGGUUUUGCUAUUAAUAAAUCCAUGUUUUAGUUAGAGUAGUCAUAGGAUUUUAAUCCAAUGAUAGCAAGUGAGAGAUGAGAGAACGAGGAUGACUCUCAGAUCUCCAGCAGUUAUGAAACGUCGACUGAUAUUUAAGGUUCAUUUUUUAAAAACUUGCGACUUAGAAAUAGCCAUACCCAUUUAAAAAACGUGUUAAAUCUUAUUAAAAUAAGAUUCUGAUCGAUAACUUAUUUUUAAUAGGUAUUGCUACGGAAAAGUUGUUUUUCUAGUUAAAGAUAAGUUGAAACACCAACUGUCAUAUCUUGAUCCAACGGCGGCACAUUGAAGAUGGGGUGUAGCUGCUAGCUUCGGCAUUGAAGAUGGCGUCAUGGUAGGGAGAAGCUAUCAAGUUAUCCGAGAUAGAGGAGGCACUGAUGGAACACAUCCGCUUGCUAGGCUUGUAAUCGGACAAAUAAUUCAAACAGCUUUGCUAUUCAUAAGACAAUUGAGAAAUAAUUAUUUUCAAGCCGACGCUAACAAUCGUUUAAUCCAAUCUCUGAUAUGUGUGAGAUCUAUACAAGUGUUGUUGACUGAAAAUAACUGCUUCCUCCGCGCCUGGAUACUCGUCGUGGUCCGGAAAUCCAACCAGUUGUUCGUUCGAGCCAGAUCCAAACGACACCGGACAGACAACCACGGGCGGUUCUACCGUGCCGCACGGUCACGCGCCCAAUUAACCGGCCACACGGCCAAGCGAAUCCAGGAUUAAAAAUAGGAAUCGCGUACAAUUACCGGCCACCCAGCCAGGCAGCCCGCAACGAUAAACCAGCAGUCUCCCGCUCCAUGUUUGGGAGCCAUGCCCAACUACAAACCCAACGUUUCCAAGCUGGCCGCCGCGCCCCGCGACAUCCACACGGCAGAUUAACCCUUCUUCUCCUUUCCUUCCUUCCUCCCUCUCCGCGCGCGCGCGACCUCCCGCAGACCCGCCUCCGCGAAUCUAGCCACCCCCGCGCGUGCGCCACGCACCGUCCGUCCGUCGGACCUCGGCCGGGCCGGCCCGCGGUCGUCGGCGCGCGGAGGGCGUUCGUGAGAAUGCGUGCGGCGGCGAUUGGUUGCUAGCUAGCUAGCGGCAUGCCUGGCAUGAGCGCGUGAUGGCGCCGCCGUUCCUGAAGACCGGGCACGGCCGCGACAGGUUCUCCUUCAGGCGGCGGAAAUCGUCCUCCUCCUCGUCCUCCUCGUCGACGCCGUCUUCUCCGCUCUCGGUGUCGUCCACAGCGUCGGAGGACAUCGCCGACCCGGGCAGCCCCAUGGAGUCGUCAGCGACGACGGGCAAGACGCUGCCCUGCGCCCGGCGGGCGCUCUCGCGGAGCAGCUGCGGGUCCAGGGGCAAGCUGUCCGUCGACCUGAUCCCGCCGCCGCUCGCCGGCGGCCCGUCCGACGCGCCCAGGUCCUCCACCUCCGCCGCGCCGCCCCCCAAGCCUCCCCCCCGCAACGAGGGCCCGCCUUCAGGUCUCACCAUUGUUAAUUUUCUAGUGUCUGUCUGACUUUCUGUCGUCAAAUGCAGAGAAAUGCCUUGUUAUGUUUUCGUGAUCGAUUGCAUGUAUCCAGAUGCUGACAUCGUGAGGGACAAGUUCUCCAAGCUGCUGCUGGGGGAGGACAUGUCCGGCACCGGCAAAGGGGUGUCCUCUGCCCUCGCUCUCUCCAACGCCAUCACCAAUCUUGCAGGUAAUCUCUCCCUUACCUUCCAUUUCCGAUCUUUCCAUUUCCAAUAACAGUCCCUGUCUUUCAAAUCUUCCCAUUCUGUCCGUUGGGUUCUGAUGGAUACUGACACGAUCAGCUAUGAUUUCUUUCUCAUGACGUGGCACAUUGCAGCUUCCGUGUUCGGUGAGCAGCGGCGUCUCCAGCCGAUGGCCGCAGAGCCGAAGGCCCGAUGGACAAAAGAAAUUGACUGGCUUCUGUCCGUUGCCGACCACAUCGUCGAAUUCGUUCCUUCACGUCAGGUGUCCGAGGAUGGCUCCACCAUGGAGGUCAGAAACAAGAGGAUCCUUGCUUAUCACAAGUACCUGGAUGUAGUUCUGUAUCACGGAACAUCUUUAUGCAAAUCCAAUUACAGCGGUGCUAUUUUUCUCUCUCUCCCCCCAAACAGAUAAUGAUGACUCAGCAGCGUAAGGAUCUGCAGAUGAACAUCCCCGCACUGCGCAAGCUCGACGGGAUGCUCCUUGUAAAGCUCUGCCACAUUCUUCUUUGAAAUCAUUUACGAGAAUGACAUGCGUGGAGAUACCUGAUGAAUUGCUAAUAUGCUAUGGCUGCACAUUUCCUGUUGUGGGGGCACAGAGCUAUCUUGACAGCUUCAGGGACAAGCAGGAGUUUUGGUACGUGUCGAAAGACGCAGAUGACUCGGAGAAGGGAGACGCGCCGAAGCAGGAUGACAAGUGGUGGCUCCCGACUGUCAGGGUCCCUCCUAAUGGUCUGUCGGACUCGUCGAGGAGGUGGCUUCUACACCAGAGGGAGCUCGUCGGCCAAGUCCAUAAGGCAACAAUGGCCAUCAAUGCUAAUGUUCUUAUGGAGAUGGAUGUUCCAGAAGCCUAUAUGGAGUCUCUGCCUAAGGUGACCCAUAUGAACACAGCAACAUUGCAUAACAUUUUUCUUUACUUCGGUUCACUGCAUUUAGAGGGAUCGAGACUCACUUUGACAGCAUCUUCUUUUUUUAUGCUUGAUAGAAUGGAAAGUCUAGCCUUGGAGACUCAAUGUACAAGCUUAUAACUGACGAAUAUUUUGACCCAGAAGAACUCAUAGCAUCAGUAGACUUGUCAGCCGAGUACAGCAUCGUUGAUCUGAAGAACCGAAUCGAAGCCUCGAUUGUCAUUUGGCAGAAGAAAAUGACGCAGAAGGAUGCCAAGAUGUGGGGGCAUGGUGUCAGUCAUGAGAAGCGGGGACGGUUUGAGGGGAGGGCGGAGAAUGUUCUUCUCCUCCUUAAGCACAGAUUCCCCGGAAUUUCUCAGUCAGCUCUGGACAUAAGCAAAAUCCAGUACAACAGGGUACUGGCAACCAUCUUCAAUUUUCCACUGUAUUUUCGGAUUUCCUACAGUACUUUAUUACUCAUGCUCAUUGCAUACAUUUUCUCGUUGUGAUUUUUUUGCAGGAUGUUGGCAGUGCCAUUUUGGAGAGCUACUCCAGGACUCUUGAGAGUCUAGCAUACACGGUUAUGUCUCGCAUCGAAGACGUUCUUCGCGCCGACUCCCUUGCUCAAGACCCCAAGAACGCGGAGGCGACGAGAAUGCCGAGCUUAUCAUCAGAUGACACAGACACGGUCGUCCAAGAUGCCAAGGACGAGGUGGAGAGGCUGGGAAGAAUGGAGCCUCUGAACUCGACACUAUUCGACUACGUGGGCCCACGGGACGGAGAUAUCGGGCCCAUGAUGUCGGAUUCACAGGAACCUCGGGGUGCAAAGCUGUCAAAGGUUUCGUCGAUCGCAACCAAGAGGUUCUCCUACCUAGAUAAGCUUGAGAAUUUGGGUGGAACAAGGAGCCCCAUAUCUAGACACUAGUCGCUGCCGUAGGGGAAAAGACGAUCAAUAUGGUGUUGAUGUUGCUGCAGAGACUCCGGGGAAAACUGCACGUAAAUAGCUCCGCAAAAACUGAGGGUGCAGCAUGCAUUGUGAGGUUUAUGUAAGCUUUCAAGCUUUCAGGCACCAAUACCUCCAAUUUGGUGCAGUUGCCAAGACAAUGUGAUGACGAUUCUCCUGCUAAAUUUACAUGAAAUAACCACAAGAUUCUGACACUGGACCUGAAAAUGGACCUCCAGAUUUUCUUACUGUACUUCUGUAGCAAAGUUUUGUGGUUCCAGUAAAGUGUUUGUUAUCUUAGACUUGACUUGCAGACCAUGCUUGGGUUCGGCUAGUGUUCUCCCCACGUACAAUUUAAGAGGGUAAUAACAUAUCACUGAACUUGGAGAUCGAUCUGUGUUAGCUUCUGGCGUUCUAGAUCGGCACUGUAAUAAGUAACUGUAACUGUACCAUGGCUCUAUGCAUUGGGAAAUUAAAACCACUCGUAUGAGUAAAUCAAUUUACAGGAACAAAUGAGCAGUAAAAAGCAUCCUUCCGGUUGCUGAUAGUACGUGCAGCUAGGCACGCCAUAUGAGUACAUACAACGAAGGACUUAACGUCCAGAUACGCAGAUCCAUGGUACACAAGCACAGGCAUAUGCAGGAACAGAUUCAGAGAGAGAGAGAGAGAGAAAGAAACUGAAACCAAAGCUUUAAUCAAAUCAGAUCAGAUCUUGCCGCGUGGGCCGGGGGUGGGGGGAAGCUGCGGCCCCUUCUUGAUGGGCAGCAGGUCCGGCGACGUGGUGGCGCCGAGGUAGGCGAUCAGGGACCCGCCGCCGAGGAGCAGGAACUUGAGCAGCAGGCCGCGCUUGGUGAAUGGCGCCGCGAAGGUCUGGAAGAACUUGCUCUGCAGCCCGUUGUAAGGGGACGGCGCGUCGGACCCGUACAG